rnacentral:rRNA from 1 species
UACAUGGGGUGCAAACGUUGCUCGGAAUUAUUGGGCGUAAAGCGCGCGUAGGCGGUUACUCAAGUCGGAUGUGAAAGCCCUCGGCUUAACUGAGGAAGUGCACCCGAAACUGAGUAGCUAGAGUAACUAAAGAGGGUCGCGGAAUUCCCGGUGUAGAGGUGAAAUUCGUAGAUAUCGGGAGGAACACCAAGGCGAAGGGCGAAGCUCGCUGGGACGGUACGUGGACGCUGAGACGGCGGAAAAGC